UUUCCGUAGGUGUCGCCCCCCAAGGUUUGCCUACGGAAGCCCCCAGCAACGACUCAAAAGAAGUGCUCCGAGUCUGCCCACGGGCGGGCGACGCCUUCAUUCUGCCCUGGGAGUGCCCUUCACCGGGCCCACCAGCAGCUCAUCCAAGCUCACAGAUCAGACGAACGCGGCCACUGCGGUGGUUUUGAUAUGACCGGCCGUGGCUGUCACCAGCCCACGACGUUUUGCGGAACCUGCGGAAGGAUCAUUA
rnacentral:rRNA from 1 species